CCUACGGGUGGCAGCAGUGAGGAAUAUUGGUCAAUGGACGAGAGUCUGAACCAGCCAAGUAGCGUGAAGGAUGACUGCCCUAUGGGUUGUAAACUUCUUUUAUAAGGGAAUAAAAUGAUGCACGUGUGCCUUUUUGUAUGUACUUUAUGAAUAAGGAUCGGCUAACUCCGUGCCAGCAGCCGCGGUAAUACGGAGGAUCCGAGCGUUAUCCGGAUUUAUUGGGUUUAAAGGGAGCGUAGAUGGAUUGUUAAGUCAGUUGUGAAAGUUUGCGGCUCAACCGUAAAAUUGCAGUUGAUACUGGCAGUCUUGAGUACAGUAGAGGUAGGCGGAAUUCGUGGUGUAGCGGUGAAAUGCUUAGAUAUCACGAAGAACUCCGAUUGCGAAGGCAGCUUACUAAACUGCGACUGACACUGAGGCUCGAAAGUGUGGGUAUCAAACAGGAUUAGAUACCCUUGUAGUC
rnacentral:rRNA from 1 species